GCCAGGCGCGGUGGCGUGUGCCUGUAGUCCCAGCUACUUAGGAGGCUGAGGCUGGAGGAUCCCUUGAGCCCAAUAGUUCUGGGCUGUAGUGCGCUAUGCUGAUCGGGCGUCCGCACUAAGUUUGGCAUCAAUAUGGUGACCUCCUGGGAGCGGGGAACCACCAGGUUGCCUAAGGAGUGGUGAACCGGCCCAGGUCGGAAACAGAGCAGGUCAAAACUCCCGUGCUGAUCAGUAGUGGGAUCGCGCCUGUGAACAGCCACUGUACUCCAAUCUGGGCAAUAUAGCUAGACCCCGUCUCU
rnacentral:SRP_RNA from 1 species